AGUAAUACCUGGCAAUCUGUUUAAGAUCAUUGACAGGCCUGAGAGUUUUCCAUAUGGCCUGCACCCUAACCUCUGGGAAGAAAAUAUCCACAACGUAAUUUCUACAAGAUUAGAGGAAGAAGAGAGGCAACGGGGAUUCCAUUUCUACUAGGAGUAUCAACCUCUGAGAGGGAUAUAUCCAUCUCUGUGGAUGUCAUCUGCUCUGCAGAAAACCUUUUCUUGGAACUCCCAGGAAACAUGAAUCUGAUGUGGACCCUCCUCCUUUUCCUCCUUUUGGACCUAACUGUCUUCACUCCAGCCCUGCCCUUCUCAACACGACAUAUAGACAACCCCAGGUCUUGGGUCCCUAGAGGACACCACUGAUACUGUGAUGUGAUGAUGAGGUGCUGUUGGCUGUAUCCAUAGGGGUAAAUGCAAGCCGAUCCACACAUUCAUUCAUAGAAUCUGACCACCAUAGCAGAUUUCUGCAGAACUCCACCACUGCCCUGUACCAACAGCCCCCUCCAUGUGCAGCUGCCACAACAGUACUCAUGAUGUCAAUGUCACUGACUGCUUUGCCAGCACAGGGACCCGACCUCUUCGCUGCCACUACCAAAAAUAAGAAGGAGUCCACCAGGCCCAUGCGAGUGGGCUGCAAGAAGGGGGCAUCUGUUCACCUGGAUGGCUAGGUUCCUCCUGACACCGGCACCUGAAUGACUUGCACCCUACGCCUUCAAAUCUUUGCAGCACUGUCAAGGUCUUCUUUGUAAAUGCUUCGUCCUUUGCA
rnacentral:antisense_RNA from 1 species